rnacentral:lncRNA from 1 species
AGCAAGAGUAUAACAGUUGAGUAAAAUUUUACUAGUACCUUAUGUCGUAGUUCAUAAGCCACUAGUAAAUCCUAUUCAUCUAUUAUAUCCUGCCAUAGUUCAAAUCAAAUAUGACUCACAAAUCAGCUCAAUAUAUAUCAAAACAAACUUUAAGCUUUUAUUCUUCAUUUCAUAGCUGUAUACAUGUGACUUUAAAGUAUAAUAC